GCAAUGAGAAACGACUGCAUAGUGGGUACAGGAUUUCCUUUUGGAGUGAAGAAAAUGUUGUGGAACUAGAUAGAAGCAGCAGUUGCACAACACUGUGAAUGUACUAAAUGCCACUGAAUUUUUUUUUUUUUAAUGAA